AGAGUUAAAUAGUACGUGAAAUUGUUGAAAGGGAAACGAUUGAAGUCAGUCAUGCUGGCGGGAAUCAACUUAGGGGAAACUCUAAGUGCACUUCACGUUUGGCAGGUCAGCGUCGAUUUUGGACGUCAUAAAAUGAUUGGGGGAAGGUAGCUCUUUCGAGAGUGUUAUAGCCCUUAGUAGAUGUGAUGUCUGGGAUUGAGGAUUGCAACGGAUACCCUUUGGGCUAGCCGCCUGAUCUCUAACUGAUGUUGAGUUACGGACAGCAUGCUGACCGUGAUUUAAUUAUUGGUUAAAAGGUUAGAUCGAGUGUAAAUUCGUUAAGGACGCUGACGUAAUGGCUUUAAACGACC
rnacentral:rRNA from 1 species